UCAGAACCUUCAGGUAAAUCAAAUUUUUGUUAGUGAGGCCUCAUCCGAGCACCAUAAGCUGCUCCGGCUUUACCGAACGCGAGGAUUGAGGCACGGGCGCUAAUGGCUUCUGCUUCCGUCGAUCCUCCGCUUCAUAGGCUCCCUCUUCGUCUCGGCCUUCAUUCUUUCAAAUCACCAACCAACAUUGUGCUUCCUUCAUUUCCCUUCUCUUCUACUAGAUGCCGAGCCUCUCUUGUCGUAGUCUCCUCUAGCAGAAUCAAUUCUAAGAGGUCUCCCGCCAGCGAGGAGAAGAAGUUGACGCUUGAGAAGUACGGACUUGACCCCAAUGAUUUCAUCUCGCAACCGGAUCCAAGGUAUGGGAGGAGGGGAACGGAUGAGGGGAGGGGAAAGUCGUCGGAGGUCUCGCCUCGCACCACUCAUAAAUUACUUCAGGUGCUUGGUGGAAAAGCUCGGCGGAAAAAAUUACUUUCACCUAAAGGAAUGGAUGUACGUCCCAUGAUGGAGGUUGUAAGGGGAGCCGCUUUUGACAUCUUGCAGGUAGCUGGUGGCUGUCCUGCUUCUUUAAGACCAGGUCGAUGGCUAGACUUGUAUAGUGGUACCGGAUCUGUUGGAAUUGAAGCAAUAAGUCGAGGAUGCUUAGAGGCACACUUUGUUGAGAUGGAUCCUUGGGUUGUCUCUAAAGUCUUGAGACCAAAUUUAGAAUGGACCGGGUUCCUUGAUGUUUCAGUCAUUCAUACACUACGGGUAGAAAAAUUCCUAGAGCUCACUGAAUUGUCUUUAGGUAAAGGUGUACCAUUUGACUAUAUUAGUGUUACUCCACCUUAUACUGCAGUCAAUUAUAGUACUUUAAUGGAAAAACUUGCGGAGUCUCCCUUUGUUGGGGAAGACUGCUUUAUUCUGGUGGAAUAUCCACUUAAAACUUCAAUGGAAGAGUCUUGUGGACAUCUUGUAAAGAUAGCUGAUAGGCGAUUCGGACGGACCAACUUAUUAAUAUACGGACCCAGCUGGGCGCUAAAGAAAAGAAAGUGAGACAGACUUGUGCUGGUUUCGGAAGGUUUUUGCCUGAGUUUCCAGUGGUUCUGUAACUUUCAACGGCAAAAGAGAGAGGAGAAGCAAAAGAGUUUCCAAGAGAUGGAAGCAAACCGUAGAAGAAAUGGAGGAGAUGAGGCACUGUCGAGGAAGCUUCACAUUGUUUAUUUCCUGAGCUGGAAUGGAAAGAUGGAGCAGCCUCACCUCAUCUCUCUUCACAACCAAAAUAAUAAUCCUCUUCACCUUCGAGACUUUAAGAGACGGCUUUCUGAGCUCAGGGGAAGAGAAAUACCAGAAUCCUUUGCAUGGUCAUAUAAGAGAUUUUUGCAGGAAGUACAAAACCGGGUAUAUUUGGCAGGAUGUCACCGACGAGGAUGACCUGAUCCCCACCACUAACCAUGAAUAUGUACUAAAGGGAUCAAUCAAAAUCACACAAAAAAUAAAAGAAGAGAAAGAAGCAAAGCCUGUUACAGAAAUGAACAAGGAGUCGUCGAUACAAACAUUAGCCUCAACUUCAUCUUCAAGGUCCCAGAAGGCUGAUGGAAGAACCGAAGUUUUCAAGGUUGAUGCAUGGAGGGAGGAUAUCAAAAGAUUAAAGAAGCAGAAGAAUGAAGAAAUUAUCAUGGAGAAUGAGAUGAAGUUUCGUGGAGUUGGAAGAAAGAAGGGAGAUGGUAAUGGUGGUUGCAAGUGGGGAUCAAUUAUGAGUAAUCUGCUGAAUUGCAGAACUGUUGAGAUGAGGGA